UAGUCCACGCUGUAAACGAUGAGUGUUAGGUGUCUGGGAGAACCUGGGUGCCAUAGCUAACGCAAUAAACACUCCGCCUGGGGAGUACGCACGCAAGUGUGAAACUCAAAGGAAUUGACGGGGACCCGCACAAGCGGCGGAGCAUGCGGAUUAAUUCGAUGCAACGCGAAGAACCUUACCAGGGCUUGACAUAAAAGUGACGAGGGAUAGAGAUAUACCUUUUCUCUUCGGAGACAGUUUUAC
rnacentral:rRNA from 1 species